rnacentral:lncRNA from 1 species
GGACCCUCUAUAGGUCCUGUCGACAUUCUUUUGCAGUCAGGAGACAGACGCGACAUCCGUACAGGUGGGUACUUCGAUCCGACGUCGGUACAGUGGUGCACGCUUGGUGACGGUUUCUUACCCUUACUCUUCUGUUGUUACUAUCGCAUAGUAUAUUGAGCCUUGCACCCUUGUUUAUUCGUUAUACUCUACUCGUUGUUUGCAUGCUUAGUAUCCUGAGUAGGAGUAGAGUAGUUCUAUCUACAUGCGUAUCUGUUGACCUAGUUGGUCUGUUGUUGCAUUCCGUAUCUGUUGACCUAGUUGGUCUGUUGUUGCAUUCCGUAUCUGUUGACCUAGUUGGUCUGUUGUUGCAUUCCGUAUCUGUUGACCUAGUUGGUCUGUUGUUGCAUUCAGUAUCUGUUGACCUAGUUGGUCGGUUGUUGCAUUCCGUAUCUGUUGACCUAGUUGGUUGGUUGUUGCAUUCCGUAUCUAUUGACCUAGUUGGUCUGUUGUUGCAU